rnacentral:rRNA from 1 species
UACAGAGGGUGCGAGCGUUGUUCGGAAUUAUUGGGCGUAAAGGGCGCGUAGGCGGUGCGGUAAGUCACCUGUGAAAUCUCCUGGCUCAACUGGGAGCUUGCAGGCGAAACUGCCGUGCUGGAGUGUGGGAGAGGUGCGUGGAAUUCCUGGUGUAGCGGUGAAAUGCGUAGAUAUCAGGAGGAACACCUGUGGCGAAAGCGGCUCACUGGACCAUAACUGACGCUGAGACGCGAAAGCGUGGGGAGCGAACAGG